GGGCCUUUAACUAUAAAUAGGACAAUUCCAAAAAACUUACAGGAACGAUAGGAUGGAGAGGACCGUGCUCAAACGAGCUUACAUUCUAUAGGAGGUGGGGUGUAAAAAACAAUAGGACAGGAAUUUGCUAUCAAAUAAGGUGGGAGUGAGGCAGAGCUGGAGGAGAGAGUAGAGUGCUGUAAUGUUUGCAUUUGCGUGCAAGGGUGUGCUUGGUUAUAGUGUUAGCUUUUAAAUGUGGAUGUACAUUUGUGUGUAGUAUUAGUGUUUGAGUGAAGGAUGUGUUUGAGUGUUUGAGUGAGAGAGAGAGAGUUAAGAGAAGGGCUACUAAACUGGUUCAUGGAUUGCAGGAUAAAACUUACAAGGAAAGGUUUAAG